rnacentral:lncRNA from 1 species
AGGGGGUGUUGGAGGCCGUUUCUCCCGACUUGGGUGUUGUAUCAUUCAUCACAGAAUUCAAAGCCAGGAGCAACAGACUGCUGUGUGAUAGCCCACGAGCGUUUCUACUGCAUCACCGAAGGAGAUACAUACAUGAUUUCCUAGGGCACGGGCAAAUGCUCAAGGCUAGUUGUGGCUCCAAUGAGUUUGGUAUACAAAAAAAACAAUAUUAAAAUAAAGAACUGAAUAUCAGGACCUUGCUAAGAGGACAGUGAACAUCAGAAAAAAGUGACCUAAAUGAAAAGAGCAUCUUCAAAUGACAGAAUAGCUUAGAAUUAGAAGAAUGACUGGAAGAACCAAAGAGAAUGGGCUAUAGUGACAGGUAGUUCUUAGGUAGGAUUGUGGGAAAGCAAAGAUUUCCCUAUUUCCCAUCCAUUGUCUGCCAGGAAAAAAAAGCUAAAGAAUGAGAAAUGUUUGGAAAUUUUUCCGUCCAGGCAACUAAGACUCCUACUGAACUGAUUUGCAGUGAUGUUGUGUAUGGAAUGUUACAGAACACUCAAAGAAGCUGUCCAUUUAAAUGAUUGUUAGACAGUCACUUGAUUCUGAGGAAUUGUCACUGAGCUGAAAUUUUAGCAUCAAAGAGAACUUUGAGACUCACAGACUGAACUUGGAGCUGCAGGUCAUUUUUCUCUUGCAUCAGAGCUACCAUUUUUUCUUCCAGCUCUUUUCUUUUAGCCUCUGCCUUUGCAAGGUUUUCUUUAGCUUUUUCAAAUUCUUCCUUCAUGUUGGCCAUCUCCUUCUCUGUCUCUGCACUCUUCAGCAGAGGUUUGAUCUUGAAAUACAGCUUCAUCCAGGGCCAGUGUUUCACAUUCAUGAAGGCACGGACGUUGUACUGGAUGCAGAAGAUGGACUCCCUGUGAUAGGAACAGAAAUGUUCAAAGGUGGGUUCUAACAGGAGACAGGAAUAAAGGGACUAGCUCAAGGAAU